AUUGAACGCUGGCGGCAUGCUUUACACAUGCAAGUCGAACGGCAGCACGGGGGCAACCCUGGUGGCGAGUGGCGAACGGGUGAGUAAUGCAUCGGAACGUGUCCUGUAAUGGGGGAUAACCUAUCGAAAGGUAGGCUAAUACCGCAUACGUCCUGAGGGAGAAAGCGGGGGCUCGCAAGACCUCGUGUUAUAGGAGCGGCCGAUGUCGGAUUAGCUAGUUGGUGGGGUAAAGGCCUACCAAGGCGACGAUCCGUAGCGGGUCUGAGAGGACGGCCCGCCACACUGGGACUGAGACACGGCCCAGACUCCUACGGGAGGCAGCAGUGGGGAAUUUUGGACAAUGGGGGCAACCCUGAUCCAGCCAUGCCGCGUGAGUGAAGAAGGCCUCGGUU
rnacentral:rRNA from 1 species